AUUGAACGCUGGCGGUAUGCCUUACACAUGCAAGCAGAACGGUAGCGGGGCAACCCUUGAGAGUGGCGAACGGGUGAGUAAUACAUCGGAACGUGCCCACAUGUGGGGGAUAACGUAGCGAAAGCUACGCUAAUACAGCAUACGAACUGAGGGUGAAAGCGGCGGAUCGCAAGAUCCCGCGCGAUUGGAGCGGCCGAUGGCAGCUUAGGUAGUUGGUGGGGUAAAGGCCUACCAAGCCUGCGACCAGUAGCUGGUCUGAGAGGAGGACCAGCCACACUGGGACUGAGAGACGGCCCAGACUCCUACGGGAGGCAGCAGUGGGGGAUGUUGGACAAUGGGCGCAAGCCUGAUCCAGCCAUACCGCGUGCGGGAAGAAGGCCUUCGGGUUGUAAACCGCUUUUGUCAGGGAAGAAAUCUUCUGGGCUAAUACCUCGGGAGGAUGACGGUACCUGAAGAAUAAGCACCGGCUAACUACGUGCCAGCCGCCGCCGUAACAC
rnacentral:rRNA from 1 species